rnacentral:rRNA from 1 species
UAGGGAAUCUUCCGCAAUGGGCGAAAGCCUGACGGAGCAACGCCGCGUGAGUGAUGAAGGUCUUCGGAUCGUAAAACUCUGUUAUUAGGGAAGAACAAAUGUGUAAGUAACUAUGCACGUCUUGACGGUACCUAAUCAGAAAGCCACGGCUAACUACGUGCCAGCAGCCGCGGUAAUACGUAGGUGGCAAGCGUUAUCCGGAAUUAUUGGGCGUAAAGCGCGCGUAGGCGGUUUUUUAAGUCUGAUGUGAAAGCCCACGGCUCAACCGUGGAGGGUCAUUGGAAACUGGAAAACUUGAGUGCAGAAGAGGAAAGUGGGAUUCCAUGUGUAGCGGUGAAAUGCGCAGAGAUAUGGAGGAACACCAGUGGCGAAGGCGACUUUCUGGUCUGUAACUGACGCUGAUGUGCGAAAGCGUGGGGAUCAAACAGG